rnacentral:rRNA from 1 species
GAUGAACGCUGGCGGCGUGCCUAAUACAUGCAAGUCGAGCGAACGGACGAGAAGCUUGCUUCUCUGGUGUUAGCAGCGGACGGGUGAGUAACACGUGGAUAACCUACCUAUAAGACUGGGAUAACUUCGGGAAACCGGAGCUAAUACCGGAUAAUAUUUUGAACCGCAUGGUUCAAAAGUGAAAGACGGUCUUGCUGUCACUUAUAGAUGGAUCCGCGCUGCAUUAGCUAGUUGGUAAGGUAACGGCUUACCAAGGCAACGAUGCAUAGCCGACCUGAGAGGGUGAUCGGCCACACUGGAACUGAGACACGGUCCAGACUCCUACGGGAGGCAGCAGUAGGGAAUCUUCCGCAAUGGGCGAAAGCCUGACGGAGCAACGCCGCGUGAGUGAUGAAGGUCUUCGGAUCGUAAAACUCUGUUAUUAGGGAAGAACAUAUGUGUAAGUAACUGUGCACAUCUUGACGGUACCUAAUCAGAAAGCCACGGCUAACUACGUGCCAGCAGCCGCGGUAAUACGUAGGUGGCAAGCGUUAUCCGGAAUUAUUGGGCGUAAAGCGCGCGUAGGCGGUUUUUUAAGUCUGAUGUGAAAGCCCACGGCUCAACCGUGGAGGGUCAUUGGAAACUGGAAAACUUGAGUGCAGAAGAGGAAAGUGGAAUUCCAUGUGUAGCGGUGAAAUGCGCAGAGAUAUGGAGGAACACCAGUGGCGAAGGCGACUUUCUGGUCUGUAACUGACGCUGAUGUGCGAAAGCGUGGGGAUCAAACAGGAUUAGAUACCCUGGUAGUCCACGCCGUAAACGAUGAGUGCUAAGUGUUAGGGGGUUUCCGCCCCUUAGUGCUGCAGCUAACGCAUUAAGCACUCCGCCUGGGGAGUACGACCGCAAGGUUGAAACUCAAAGGAAUUGACGGGGACCCGCACAAGCGGUGGAGCAUGUGGUUUAAUUCGAAGCAACGCGAAGAACCUUACCAAAUCUUGACAUCCUUUGACAACUCUAGAGAUAGAGCUUUCCCCUUCGGGGGACAAAGUGACAGGUGGUGCAUGGUUGUCGUCAGCUCGUGUCGUGAGAUGUUGGGUUAAGUCCCGCAACGAGCGCAACCCUUAAGCUUAGUUGCCAUCAUUAAGUUGGGCACUCUAAGUUGACUGCCGGUGACAAACCGGAGGAAGGUGGGGAUGACGUCAAAUCAUCAUGCCCCUUAUGAUUUGGGCUACACACGUGCUACAAUGGACAAUACAAAGGGCAGCGAAACCGCGAGGUCAAGCAAAUCCCAUAAAGUUGUUCUCAGUUCGGAUUGUAGUCUGCAACUCGACUACAUGAAGCUGGAAUCGCUAGUAAUCGUAGAUCAGCAUGCUACGGUGAAUACGUUCCCGGGUCU